UUUUAUGUUGUAACUGCUAGGAAUCCAUAAAUUUGAGCAUCGGAUUAAUGUUAUGAUUUAGUUUAUAAUUCUCUCAUAAACAUUGUAAUUUGGAAAUUUUAAUUCCGUCUCUGCCUCCACAUUCAGUUGUUUCAAACUGUAUCUCUUGACUCAAUUUUGUAAUUCCUUUCUCCAAAUUAAGUUGAUUAACUAUCUGGUUGCAAUUCUCACUUAUGGAGGUGAAAUCGUUGCCCUCUGUUCCUCCUUUUCCAUGCCACAAAAUAUUGUGACGGCUAAUAAAAUAAAUUGUGCUCCUAAAGCAUCAUUCAAAAUUCCUAAAAAUGAAAAAUAGUAGUAAUAAGGAUGAAUUCAAGUAAAAUUUAAUAAAUGCGGAACAAUGCAUUGUAAGAAAUAGGACUGGAGAAAAUAAAGAAAAUACCCCUGAAGAACAUUACUCCAUGAGAUAAGGAAGAAUAAUGAGAGCAAUUUCCACGAGCUAAGGUAAAAGAAGUAAUCUAAACAAUAACUGUAAAGUAAUUUAAAUUCACAAGACAAAUAAAUUUUAUUAUUGGAACAAAAUAUAUUCAAAAACUGCAUAAAAAUAUUUAUAUAGAACUCGUAGGUGUGCAUAUUUUCUAUAAUACUUAACUUUCUUUAAUCAAACUUCAAAAUCUACUCAUUGAGGUCUGGAUGAUAAAUCCUUAUUUUAUGUUGAGUCUGAAUGUUACAUUCAUCCUACAUAGUAAACUCGAUCUCAAAUCAUAUAUGCAUAAUUAAAGCUUACCAAGUUAACACCAUGUAGCUUGAUAUGAAUUUUCUAUACUAGGACAAGCAAAGAGAAAAAGCAAUUAAGAUUAAUAAUUUUAAAAUAUAAGCAUGAGUAAAUGUACCUGCAACAACAGAAGCACCAACCAACAUGGCAGAAGCAGGGGAGCCAUAUCAAACCCACUAGUCUGGUUGUUGCAAUGAAAUCAAAUUAGUUACAAACAAUGGAUGCUACUUUCCAAGCCAAGAACAUUUAUUAAUCAAUAGUUCAAAGUAAAACUCAACCACAUCUAACACAAUUCUUAAAACAUAUUCACUUUGAGUCAACAAUUAAAUGUAAAUCAGAUCAUUGAAUAUUGCCUGGUUUGCAGACAAUGUGAACCAUAAACUUAACCGAAUCCAUGCAAUUUGAAUUCAAAACACAAAUAGCAAGAAUCUACUUAAAAAAGCAUAAACACGAAGCUGAUUGUUAUACAGGAAUAAAUUUGAAUAUGCGAAUGAGGAAUUAUCGUUGAGGAAGAAGUAAUGCUUCCGAGAGAACCAAAGUCAUCUUACUAAAAAGAUGAUACAUGAUUAUUUUCAUAGUUGCCUCUGCAAAAUCAAUUUAUCAGAUACAUGAAAACCAAAGAAUAAUUAAUGCAUGUGAUAUACCAAAUUACCAUGCUUAGGGUUCCACUCAACGGUUCUUCGAUGACAAAUUCUAAUCCAUUGGUCUAAAAAAAACCCUAACAAACUAACAUUUAAAAAAAACAAUAAGCGAUUCCAUGCUAGUACCAUCUCCAGUGUUUGCUUCACAUUCAAAAGCACCUCUCACAUCGAACACGCCAAUCACGGAAAUCUAUCUUACUAAAUUUAAAUUUGGCAUUACUGACGAACAACUGAAAUGAGGAGAAGAAAGAAAUCAAGAACUGAAACUUUAGUUUGGCAGUGCGAUUUGGUCAUUUUUGGAUUUCUAACAGAGUCAAAGACUGAAGAGAGAAGAAGAAAGAAAACUUAAUUUAUCCAUCGGGUCCGACUUAGAAGAAUG
rnacentral:lncRNA from 1 species